GCUCGGAUGACCAUGUCUGCAUCCAGCAGCUUCUAGUCCACAGUUGAUUAAAAAAAGCAAGAGGCACCACCAAAUCCCCACCGAUGUCACCACCCACUGCGUGCCCCUUCUUAUCCACAACACGUCGCCAUUCCUCAUCACCCAAGCGCCGCUCCGCCUCCAUCUUCCUCCUGCUGCCUGACCACCCAUCGUUGCUCCUCCUCCUCUUCUCCUCUUCUCCAUCCGCCUCACACCCAAGUGUUGCUUUCCUGUUCUUGGCCGCGGUGGCUGGCCUGAGCCACAUCCCAGCUGACAGCGUCGGCGUGCUUUCUAGCUACGGCUGGGGCGUUGGUGGCCUGCUCAUCGGCGCACUCGGGCCGGGGCGGAGCCCCCUUCCUUGCAGUGGUGAUGGAGCCCCUCCUCCCGGAGGGUGGCUGGGGGCAACCGAGGUUGCGGGGCAGGUGUGCAGUGGCUCGGUUGCGCCAGAUCUGGCGGCUGGCCAGCACGCGCGGGGGGCGGUCUGGUGGUGGUGUUCGUCUGCCGGUGGCCACGGAUGUGGGAGUGCCGAAGCUGCCUCCGAUGAAAGCCCCUGGGCCCCGGUUUUCUCUUCCAUGAGCUGGUCUCUGUAUCAGCAAUGGGCAUCAAUUUUCUCUGUAUCUUUAGUUCGGCUCUCUCUCCUUCUUUAGGAUUAUUAGCUCAAAUGGCAAUUAAGACAUUUCUUUCUAUUAGGCUCGGUGCUUUUCUUUGGAUUCAUGUGCAUCUCCUCUUUGCUCAUUUUCAAUUGGUGACGCAUAUAGUAGAUGCGGCAGGCAGCUUUCUUGAUUUUUCUCUAGGGUAAACAUGAACAUCUCAUCCGCUUUUUGUUGGCUUGUUGAUCUUGUAAUGCAUGAAAUAAGUUGGUUGGAUUUUAUGUAAUAGAGCAGGUAGGACUAUUAAUUGGAAUCUGAAAUUUUAGCACAGGCACAAGACUUGGUUCCUAAGGCAGGAAGAGGAGGAGCUUGGGCGCGCUGGUGAGAGGAGCCGAAGUGGAACGGUGGUGCCGGGUGAUGCGGUCGCCGGCGUCGGCCGGCAGCGGAUUGAGCAUCACGUGGGCCGCGAGCUUCUUUGUAAACCACAGGGGCUUCUUUGUAAAAAAGCGUGACGGACGACAGAAAUCCAACCAUCCGGAGCUGUCGCCGCCGCGAAGAGCGCCGCCCCACCGCGCCGGAAAGGAAGCAUGUGGAUAAGAUAGAACAAAGGGUCGCGGACCGAAUUCUUACAAACGUAGGGUUCUUUUUUGUAAAAAUGAAUCGUUAUCUCAGAUCCACUUAAACAGGGACUGCGGGUUGAAUUCUCACAAGCAGAGGGGCUUUUUCGUAAAAACGCCGACGACGUACGGGCAGAAGCACUCCGUGCUUUAUUAGUAGGGAAAGAUAAAAAUAAAACAAAGUAUUAGUCUAUAGUCCAUGACUGUCCUUAAAAAAAGUUGAUUGAGGGCAUGUUUGAUAGCAAAGUAUCUUUAAAGUAUCAUAAUACUGCAGUUUUUAGAUUAGUAGUUUUAUUUACAACGGGUUGUUUGGCUGCGUCUAAAAACUGUGGUUUUAAUACUAGAGUAUUUGUCAAACCACAGUAUUUCCUGUGUAUAAUAAAAAGAACACCAG
rnacentral:rRNA from 1 species